rnacentral:misc_RNA from 1 species
GCACCUACCGAUUGAAUGGUCCGGUGAAGCCUCGGGAUUGUGGCGGGUUCCCUUUAUUGGGAGUUUGUCGCGAGAACUUGUCUAAACCUUAUCAUUUAGAGGAAGGUGAAGUCGUAACAAGGUUUCCGUAGGUGAACCUGCAGAAGGAUCAAGAUCGGAAGAGAGUCGUGGAGGGAAAGAGGGGAGAUAUCCGGGGUGGCCGUCUAAUUAAAAAAAAAAUGCAUGAAUACGCACUGCCUCCACAAUCUUCACAUUACACAAGAUUCCUACACUUUA